rnacentral:rRNA from 1 species
AUUUUAAGUCUAGCCCAAACACAAUCAUCACCCACCACCAACAGAUAAACCAUUUUUAUAUAAUAGU